UGAAACCGUUAAAAAAUAUUUCUGAAAGAUACCAGUAAUAAUCCAUAAAACAAAACUCAGGAUGAACCUGAGUGUGUCUUCACUGUCAACAAAGCAAACUAAAAAGAACACAAACAAAAAUAAUAUGAAGUGUGCGGAUACUCCAGUUUUUUUUUAAAUUAUCUUGUGAAACAGCCAAACAUAUCUGAAAUCUCAAAGGUGCACCGCAAGCUGACGAAACUACUUCUGAUAAUCCGGUCGGGAAAUGCAGGAACCGGCAUUUGAUUGAUUCGCUUUUGCAAUAGAUUCACCAAAGAUCGGCCGGAAGAUAAACCAGAAGUCUUUCCCCCCUAGGGCCAGGGGAGGCUGCAUGCCAGUCUGGUAACAUCAUGCUGACCGAAGUUGUGGCGGGAACAGAGGAAGUUUGCGGUUUCGCGGCAAAUUUCGUUUGCUCCAGGAUCCAACUAGCUAACAGCUUCCGAGAGAUUGUUUUGAAAAUCCCGAUGCUCUGUGCGCCUGCCGGCCGGGUCAAUAACAAAAAAUAGGCAACUGAGAGCUGUUUGUUAAAUAUCCUGAACUUCCGUAAUAUGCCGCAGGUUGGUGCUUGUUGCCAUUUACAAUCGGAGAACCAUUACCUACACCUACUCGUCACCUAGGACGAUUGAUAAACUGGGAUGAAAUUCAUGAAAGCCACGACUACCAGACGAGUCUUAAGCGAUGGGAACUUUCGGAAAUACGACGUGGCCCGCGGAAAGGAUGUGUUUCACAGAAGGCAGGCAGGCCUCCAGUUAUUCAUAGAAGUUGUUAGGAAUCUGAUCGAGUUUGCAUGUGUCUGGGCAUUUUAUUCAGGGCAAGGAAAUCAUUGAAGAGGAUCGGUACCCGAAGGUAUCAUUUAGAUGGAAUCGCACCACGCUUACUAGUCCCAGAUGUCGGUCAAAAAGAUGUUAAUAGUUUUUCGUACCAUCCGGGCAAGAAUAAUCGAUAUAUAGAAUCUUACCUGGCAGAAAUAUGACAUUCGCAGUGACGGAAUAGUUCACCUCUACAGUAAUUCAAUGCUUAAAUGGAUGUUUUGAAUAUAUCCCAAGAAUUUAACAACACAACAUGAUUUGUCAAUCACGAAUCUGCUUGAUUGAUUGAGCCAAAAAAUGUUUGCUACUAAUGGGAGUUUUAUUACGCGAAGCAAAUAACAGAUAUCUAUCGGUAUUUCGAGAUACAAAAAGAUUCUGGACGACUUCAAACGAAACACGAGGAAUAAAAUUAACUUCCUGUUUAUUCGUUCGCCAGUCUUGGCUCAGGUUUUCUGGACUCCCGAAUACGAUCAGCGAGAAGGAAGGACUCGCGUCCAGGUCGAUUCCGGAUUCCCUAUGUCGAAUCGAAUCAGCCUGCCAUGAAACAUGCCAAGCGUCAAUAAUAAGCGCAGGUGAGCAAUCUUUUUUUUUAAUUUUCUCUCAAAAUCAUUUGAACUUUACAUCGUUUAAGCAUACUCAAUAUAUUUUGUCUUAAUUGUUGAAGUAGGUAGAUCUCUGUUUGAAUGAAGCCAAGCUUGAAAUAAAAGUUUAUUAAAAUCUUCAAGUUUUUCGAUAGAAACGAUUUAAAAAUACAAAGUUUGUUGGAACGAAUGGAUCUAGAUAAGAGAUGUGUUCAAAAAAUCAAUAACAAUAAAACCA